UGCGGCUUUCACAUAGGAUGCGGUGUGCGCUGCGCUCGCCGCUGGGUUCGGCGCAGCCAAGCGAUUUGUGCUCUGAUGGCCAGACCAAAGUAGGCGGGGUUUUCAAUAAAUUACUACAGUGUUUAUAUUUGCGUUAAAUAGUCGACGAGGAAUACAGAGACUGAUGUUGCUCGUCUCCAUUUCACGUAACUUUAAGCAUACCUACAACAAGCUGCUUGACUUAAAACACACCUGACAUGCCAACUUGAAUUGCUACGUGUUUCUAUGAGACGGCUUUCCUUCCGAUGUCUCUGUAGGAGCAUAAACUUGUAUUAUAAAGCCCUGAGAAUCCCGAGUAUAAGCUUUCGUCCAUUUUGCUUGUUUGGAGCGCAGCGCAAAAGUUAAACUAUGUUGAACUUUGACCGCGGCGUGAGCGCAAGCUGCGCUCCGCUGCGCUCGCGCUUUGCUCGGCGCAACAAAAAACCGCCCUCGCGCGGCGCAAGCCAUUGAAAUGAAUGGGUUUCAUAGCGCAGCGCACACCGCAUCCUAUGUGAAAGCCGCAUAACA